rnacentral:rRNA from 1 species
GAUGAACGCCAGCGGCAGGCCUAAUACAUGCAAGUCGGACGGGAUUUGGGAGCUUGCUCCUAAUGAGAGUGGCGCACGGGUGCGUAACACGUAUGUAACCUACCUUAAUCAGGGGGAUAGCCUCUCGAAAGAGAGAUUAACACCGCAUAAUAUAUUUUUAUGGCAUCGUAGAAAUAUCAAAUACUUAUAGGAUUAAGAUGGGCAUGCGGAACAUUAGCUAGUUGGUAAGGUAACGGCUUACCAAGGCUACGAUGUUUAGGGGAUCUGAGAGGAUGACCCCCCACACUGGUACUGAGACACGGACCAGACUCCUACGGGAGGCAGCAGUAAGGAAUAUUGGUCAAUGGGCGCAAGCCUGAACCAGCCAUGCCGCGUGCAGGAAGACGGCCCUAUGGGUUGUAAACUGCUUUUGUACCGGAAUAAACCCUUUUACGUGUAAGAGGCUGAAUGUACGGUAAGAAUAAGGAUCGGCUAACUCCGUGCCAGCAGCCGCCGUAA